GGAGUUGUGGCUCAUUGGUAGAGCGCUCUCCUAGCAUGUGCGAGACCCUGGGUUCGAUUCUCAGCACUACA
rnacentral:tRNA from 1 species